rnacentral:rRNA from 1 species
GUGCCAGCAGCCGCGGUAAGACGAAGGGGGCUAGCGUUAUUCGGAAUUACUGGGCGUAAAGCGCACGUAGGCGGACUGGAAAGUUGGGGGUGAAAGCCCAGGGCUCAACCCUGGAACUGCCUUCAAAACUCCCAGUCUUGAGGUCGAGAGAGGUGAGUGGAAUUCCGAGUGUAGAGGUGAAAUUCGUAGAUAUUCGGAGGAACACCAGUGGCGAAGGCGGCUCACUGGCUCGAUACUGACGCUGAGGUGCGAAAGCGUGGGGAGCAAACAGGAUUAGAAACCCUGGUAGUCC